rnacentral:rRNA from 1 species
UUGACAUGUCAGGAACCUUAGAGAGAUUGGUGGGUGAAAGAAAGCGAACAUGAACACAGGUGCUGCAUGGCUGUCGUCAGCUCGUGUCGUGAGAUGUUGGGUUAAGUCCCGCAACGAGCGCAACCCUUGUCAUUAGUUGCUACGAAAGGGCACUCUAAUGAGACUGCCGGUGACAAACCGGAGGAAGGUGGGGAUGACGUCAAGUCCUCAUGGCCCUUAUGGGUAGGGCUUCACACGUCAUACAAUGGUACAUACAGAGGGCCGCCAACCCGCGAGGGGGAGCUAAUCCCAGAAAGUGUAUCGUAGUCCGGAUCGCAGUCUGCAACUCGA